rnacentral:pre_miRNA from 1 species
UACCUAGGCCUUUUCUAGUGUGGGAUUUAAAGUUGUGUGUAACUCGUGACAGCAUACCUUUAAAUCCUGGUCUGGACAAGGU